UACGUAGGGUGCGAGCGUUAAUCGGAAUUACUGGGCGUAAAGCGUGCGCAGGCGGUUCGUUGUGUCGGUGGUGAAAUCCCCGGGCUUAACCUGGGAAUGGCCAUGGAAACUGGCGAACUGGAGUGUGGCAGAGGGGGGUGGAAUUCCGCGUGUAGCAGUGAAGUGCGUAGAGAUGCGGAGGAACACCGAUGGCGAAGGCAGCCCCCUGGGCUAGCACUGACGCUCAGGCACGAAAGCGUGGGGAGCAAACAGG
rnacentral:rRNA from 1 species